CAUAAUUUUACCUUGUCUAGCAUGUCAUAGAGUUGAAAUCAUACAGUAUGUAGUCUUUUCAGAUUGACUUCUUUCACUUAGUAACAUGCAUUUAAGGUUCCUUCAUAUUUUUUCAUGACUUAAUACUCAUUUAUUUUCAGUGCUGGAUACUAUUCCAUUGUCUAGAUGUACUGCAGUUUAUAUUCAUUCACCUACUAUCAGUCAUCUUUGUUGCUUCCAAGUUUUGGCAUUUAUAAAUAAAGCUGCAAUAAACAUCCAUAUACAGGUUUUUGUGUGCACAUAAGUUUUCACCUCCUUUGGGUAAAUACCAAGGAGUGUGAUUGCUGGAUUGUAUGGUAAAAUUGUGUGUAGUCUUGCAGAAAAUUGUCAAGCUGUCUUCCAAAGUGGCUGUACCUCCAAUUCGGUUUUAAACAACAAUAUUGUAAUCACUACAACAAACAUGUCUGUGGGUUGAAUUUGACUGUACUGAUUGUAACUUUGGAAAGGAUGCAUCAAACUUACCAAGGUAUGAUGGAGCUCAGAAUUCUGCACCAAGAAACAUAGUGAAUAUGACAUCUCUUGAUAUCUCCUUGGUCUACAGGGAAAAUGUGAUGAACUAACAAUGAUCUCAUCUUCAACGUGCUCAGGACAAAAGUGCUUUCAGUGCACCAAACACAUCCAGGAAGACAGAGAUCCUCCUCGAGGAAGCACUGAAACAGGCACCUUCCCUGCAACUUCCUAUGCCCCUCAGCAAAACACAAGGGAUGCAAAUGUGCUGAUGUAAAAUGGAUCCAAGCGGAGGAGGAGGCAUUUGAAUUUACCUGCUACUAGCCUAGAACCUGACUGAAGGCUGCACAGGUAUUUGUGAGCAUCAAGUUCUAGAAGCCUUUCCCUCCAGGGGAUCAUUGAAGGAAUUGUAGGUUAUAAAUAGAUGCACUUUGUUUGUGGUCUGUUUCAAUAAGGUCAGGCUUUUUUAUUUUUUUAAGAUAAAAAAAUUUUAAGGUAGUGAAACAACAUUGUUUAGUAGGGACAACACUUUUUCAGAUUCAAUUUGCAACUACAGGG
rnacentral:lncRNA from 12 species